GAUGAACGCUGGCGGCGUGCCUAAUACAUGCAAGUCGAGCGAACAGACGAGGAGCUUGCUCCUCUGACGUUAGCGGCGGACGGGUGAGUAACACGUGGAUAACCUACCUAUAAGACUGCGAUAACUUCGGGAAACCGGAGCUAAUACCGGAUAAUAUAUUGAACCGCAUGGUUCAAUAGUGAAAGACGGUUUUGCUGUCACUUAUAGAUGGAUCCGCGCCGCAUUAGCUAGUUGGUAAGGUAACGGCUUACCAAGGCAACGAUGCGUAGCCGACCUGAGAGGGUGAUCGGCCACACUGGAACUGAGACACGGUCCAGACUCCUACGGGAGGCAGCAGUAGGGAAUCUUCCGCAAUGGGCGAAAGCCUGACGGAGCAACGCCGCGUGAGUGAUGAAGGUCUUCGGAUCGUAAAACUCUGUUAUUAGGGAAGAACAAAUGUGUAAGUAACUAUGCACGUCUUGACGGUACCUAAUCAGAAAGCCACGGCUAACUACGUG
rnacentral:rRNA from 1 species